UCUUUAACUGGCCGCCGUGCGAUAAGGGGAUCCCAAGCUGCGUAGGCAUAGCAGUCCUACGCUUUUGUCCACUCCUAGGGUGGUGGACGAAUAAGGGCUGGGCAAGACCGGUGCCAGCCGCCGCGGUNAUACCGGCAGCCCGAGUGAUGGCCGAUCUUAUUGGGCCUAAAGCGUCCGUAGCUGGCCGCACAAGUCCAUCGGGAAAUCCACCUGCUCAACAGGUGGGCGUCCGGUGGAAACUGUGUGGCUUGGGACCGGAAGGCGCNACGGGUACGUCCGGGGUANGAGUGAAAUCCUGUAAUCCUGGACGGACCGCCGAUGGCGAAAGCACGUCGCGAANACGGAUCCNACAGUGAGGGACGAAAGCUAGGGUCUCGAACCGGAUUANAUACCCGGGUAGUCCUAGCCGUAAACACUGCCUGCUAGGUGUGGCACCCACUACGAGUGGGUGCUGNGCCGUAGGGAAGCCGCUAAGCANGCCGCCUGGGAAGUACGUCCGCAAGGAUGAAACUUAAAGGAAUUG
rnacentral:rRNA from 1 species